UACGGAGGGAGCUAGCGUUGUUCGGAAUUACUGGGCGUAAAGCGCACGUAGGCGGCUUUGCAAGUUAGAGGUGAAAGCCCGGGGCUCAACUCCGGAAUUGCCUUUAAAACUGCAUCGCUAGAGUUGUGGAGAGGUAAGUGGAAUUCCGAGUGUAGAGGUGAAAUUCGUAGAUAUUAGGAAGAACACCAGUGGCGAAGGCGGCCUACUGGUCCGGCACUGACGCUGAGGUGCGAAAGCGUGGGGAGCAAACAGG
rnacentral:rRNA from 1 species